rnacentral:rRNA from 1 species
UAGGGAAUUUUUCACAAUGAGCGAAAGCUUGAUGGAGCAAUGCCGCGUGAACGAUGAAGGUCUUUAAGAUUGUAAAGUUCUUUUAUUUGGGAAGAAUGACUUUAGCAGGUAAUGGCUAGAGUUUGACUGUACCAUUUUGAAUAAGUGACGACUAACUAUGUGCCAGCAGUCGCGGUAAUACAUAGGUCGCAAGCGUUAUCCGGAUUUAUUGGGCGUAAAGCAAGCGCAGGCGGAUUGAAAAGUCUGGUGUUAAAGGCAGCUGCUUAACAGUUGUAUGCAUUGGAAACUAUUAAUCUAGAGUGUGGUAGGGAGUUUUGGAAUUUCAUGUGGAGCGGUGAAACGCGUAGAUAUAUGAAGGAACACCAGUGGCGAAGGCGAAAACUUAGGCCAUUACUGACGCUUAGGCUUGAAAGUGUGGGGAGCAAAUAGGAUUAGAUACCCUAGUAGUCCACACCGUAAACGAUAGAUACUAGCUGUCGGGGCGAUCCCCUCGGUAGUGAAGUUAACACAUUAAGUAUCUCGCCUGGGUAGUACAUUCGCAAGAAUG